rnacentral:rRNA from 1 species
GUGGGGAAUAUUGGACAAUGGGCGAAAGCCUGAUCCAGCCAUGCCGCGUGUGUGAAGAAGGUCUUCGGAUUGUAAAGCACUUUAAGUUGGGAGGAAGGGCAGUAAGUUAAUACCUUGCUGUUUUGACGUUACCGACAGAAUAAGCACCGGCUAACUUCGUGCCAGCAGCCGCGGUAAUACGAAGGGUGCAAGCGUUAAUCGGAAUUACUGGGCGGAAAGCGCGCGUAGGUGGUUUUGUAAGUUGGAGGUGAAAUCCCCGGGCUCAACCUGGGAACUGCCUACAAAACUGCAUGACUAGAGUACGGUAGAGGGUAGUGGAAUUUCCUGUGUAGCGGUGAAAUGCGUAGAUAUAGGAAGGAACACCAGUGGCGAAGGCGACUACCUGGACUGAUACUGACACUGAGGUGCGAAAGCGUGGGGAGCAAACAGGAUUAGAAACCCUAGUAGUCC